AUCAGUGGCAGCAGUGAGGAGGAAACAGCGUGACAUGUUGAGGACAGCUACAGUUCACUGACUCUGUGUGUUUGCAUAUGUGUCCUGCCUCUCUGCUCCCAGCCGUUAAGAGGCCAGUGUUGAUCAGUGGCUGUCCAGGCCUUUCAGAGACACUGGCACGCAGGCAGCACAAUGAUGAUGUCACUGACUCUACUGCUGACCACCCUGGGGCUCCUUGUUCAGGGUUCAUCAGGACAAACCAUCCUGACUCAGUCUCCUGGAUCUCAGUCUGUUGUUCCAGGACAGACUGUCUCCAUCAGAUGUAAAACCAGUACAGGUGUUCAUACUAGCUACCUCCACUGGUACCUUCAGAAAUCUGGAGAAGCUCCUAAACUCCUGAUUUAUGCAGCUACAACCCGUCAGUCUGGAGUUUCAGAUCGUUUUACUGGAAGUGGUUCUGGGACUGACUUCACUCUGACCAUCAGAGGAGUCGAGGCUGAAGAUUCAGGAGUUUACUACUGUCAGCAGGGUGACAGCUUCCCGUUCACACAGUGAUACAACGUCGUACAAAAACCUCCCUCAGCUGGAGAGGAACUGAUCUGACUCAACAGCUGCACUGAAACUAAAACAACAGAAGCUUGACUAAACUAACAAUUGACUUUAAACAUU